GGGUUGUGAGGUUAAGCGACUAAGCGUACACGGUGGAUGCCCUGGCAGUCAGAGGCGAUGAAGGACGUGCUAAUCUGCGAAAAGCGCCGGUAAGGUGAUAUGAACCGUUAUAACCGGCGAUGUCCGAAUGGGGAAACCCAGUGCAAUCCGUUGCACUAUCACAGCAUGAAUACAUAGUGCUGUGAGGCGAACCGGGGGAACUGAAACAUCUAAGUACCCCGAGGAAAAGAAAUCAACCGAGAUUCCCCCAGUAGCGGCGAGCGAACGGGGAACAGCCCAGAGCCUGAAUCAGCCUGAGUGUUAGUGGAAGCGUCUGGAAAGUCGCGCGAUACAGGGUGACAGCCCCGUACACAAAAGCACACAGGUUGUGAGCUCGAUGAGUAGGGCGGGACACGUGGUAUCCUGUCUGAAUAUGGGGGGACCAUCCUCCAAGGCUAAAUACUCCUGACUGACCGAUAGUGAACCAGUACCGUGAGGGAAAGGCGAAAAGAACCCCGGCGAGGGGAGUGAAACAGAACCUGAAACCGUGUACGUACAAGCAGUGGGAGCCUCUUUAUGGGGUGACUGCGUACCUUUUGUAUAAUGGGUCAGCGACUUAUAUUCUGUAGCAAGGUUAACCGUAUAGGGGAGCCGCAGGGAAACCGAGUCUUAACUGGGCGUUAAGUUGCAGGGUAUAGACCCGAAACCCGGUGAUCUAGCCAUGGGCAGGUUGAAGGUUGGGUAACACUAACUGGAGGACCGAACCGACUAAUGUUGAAAAAUUAGCGGAUGACCUGUGGCUGGGGGUGAAAGGCCAAUCAAACCGGGAGAUAGCUGGUUCUCCCCGAAAGCUAUUUAGGUAGCGCCUCGUGAA
rnacentral:rRNA from 1 species